rnacentral:ncRNA from 1 species
GGCGGGAUGGACGGGUGGAAUGCGGAAAACCGGGCGUGGAGAAGGCACAGUUCACCUGAGUGCCCGGUGGCGUUCGCGCGCCGCCGCAAAUGCGAAAUGGCGCUCAGGAAGCGAGGGGCGAAAGCCGGGCGAGAGCCCAGCCAAGAACCGCUCCGAGCUGACUCAUGAACGUGAUAGAGACACUUCAGGCAACCCUUCGGGGAAGCUUGGCAGACCGUCUCAUUCGCCGGACUGGUCCGGUUGCGGUUCCUUCGGGAAUCGGGACUGAGUCAGAAGCUCAAGCCUGUUUCGAGCUUGAGUGGAAAAGUAGUUGCCCAGAGGGUAUUGGUUGCCUACUACAAAAGUUGGCACGGCAGGAAUCCAAAAUUGGCCGGCAACGGUCAGCCAGACGAAAUCCUCCGAAAGGAGGGACAAAGCUGGGGUUCCCGUCGGGAUAGCCACGAGCCCAAGACAACGGCCGUGAAAACUAUCCGGCAAGGUGGCGAUGCAAAAACUGCAGCGCUGUCAUGUGAACGAAAUGGCAACCUGAGGGGUAAGAGGCGAGACCCGUGACACGGGCCAACGCACCGCCAAAAGCGGUGGCCGACCUUGUGUCAGAUGGCUUGGAUGUGAUUGGUUCACAUCCGCGUCCAAGCCUGGUCCGCAGGUCAGUGGCCGCAACCACUGGCUGAAGCGGGCAAAUAAACCUCACCCAAAAAUUCAAGCGCCGUAAGGCCUUGGACGGCCCUGCUAUGAGGCCGACAACUCCGCGAGUCACGGGGAAUGGCGUCGGGGAGCAAUCAACCUGCUUGCAGGUGCCUAAUGGUUGUAUCUGGUAAAGAGCGUGUGGCGAGCGCC